GUGUCAGCCGCCGCGGUAAUACGUAGGGGGCAAGCGUUGUCCGGAAUCAUUGGGCGUAAAGAGCGCGUAGGCGGUCCGGUAAGUCGGUUGUGAAAACUGGGGGCUCAACCCUCAGAGGCCGACCGAUACUGCCGGGCUAGAGUCCGGAAGAGGCGAGUGGAAUUCCUGGUGUAGCGGUGAAAUGCGCAGAUAUCAGGAGGAACACCAAUGGCGAAGGCAGCUCGCUGGGACGGUACUGACGCUGAGGCGCGAAAGCGUGGGGAGCAAACAGGAUUAGAAACCCCCGUAGUCC
rnacentral:rRNA from 1 species